UGGUAGGUAGGUUUGGUGGGUGUGGUGAUGGUACAUGAGGUAGCUGUGGUUAUGGUAGGUGUGAUAGGUGUGGUGAUGGAUGGUUUGGUGAAGGUAGGUAUGGUAGGUGUGUUAGGUUUUGUGAUGUAGGUGUGAGAGAAGUGGUGAUGGUAGGUAAGUUUGGUAGGUUUGGUGAUGAUAGAUAGGGUAGGUAUGGUGAUUAUAGGUGUGGUAGUUUGGGUAGGUUUGUUAGGUGUGGUAAGUGUGAUGAUAGUAGAUGUGAUGUUGUGGUGUUGGUGGAUUGUAGGUGUGUUGAUGGUAGGUAGGGUAGUUGUGGUGGGUAGGUUUGGUAGGUGUGGUGAUGGUAGGUUUUGUAGUUGUGGUGAUGGUAGGUGUGUUCGUUUUAGUAGGUUGGUGUGGUGGUUGUGGUACAUAGGGGUGGUAGUUGUGGUAGUUGUGGUGAUUAGGGUUGGGCGGUAUCCAGAUGUUCAUAUUGUCAUACCAUCCUUCUCUCAUACCGGGAUUAACAGUAUUACUGGCAUAGCACAUGAGUGGGUGCUAAAAACACAAGAAAAACCUAUUGCCCUCUAUUUCCAGAAUGCUAACAAAUUAGCACAAACUGAUAGCAAAUUCACAUAGACGCUGUUAGCUAAAUGCUAACAACGGAAAACAAACUAGCUAAUUGCAAAGCAGUGGAGGCUGCUGAGGGGAAGACAACUCAUAAUCAUGUCUGGAAUGAAGUCAAUGGAGUGAUAUCAACCACAUCAAAGAUUCCAGACAUUAUUAUGAGCUUCCACUGUUGCAAAGAAAGGCAAAUCCAGCUCAUAAAGUGAUGUAAGGGAUAAUCAACGAGGGACUAUGAGUUCUAUGGUAAAUAAUGAACACUGUGGAACUGACCUUCCAUGGACUUGCAUUAUUUUCCAGAGAACCAUAAAGCCCUGAGUUGAUUAUCCCUUUUAUACCAUGGCUAUAAUUUAACACAUUUGCCGGUAGAAAUGUGUUCAAGUAGCUAGCAAGUUUACUAGAUAGCUACAGUAGUUGCCUUGGUAACCAAACAAACAUACUUGCUAGUUUAGAUAACCAAACCAUCAGUCCUAGCUUGCUAUUAUGAAAACCUAAUUCAACAACACCAAUAAUGUUUUCAAUUUGACUUCAUUUGUAAUGUCCAAAAGUCCAAACGUAAUUACCAUGGAUUGGAGGAAGAGGUCUGUGAACCAAUAUCUGAAGUUUUAGGGAAGCAUUUUUCAGGCAAUUGUAUGCGAUGCAGUUUUAAGACGGUUCCUUAACCCUCUGAACAGAGGAUGGCACAUUUUUAGCUACAUUUCACCUCCAAAAGUGAAUGACACCGAAUGGAACAGUAGGUUAACUGCCUUAUCCAGUUGUCUUGAAAGAACCAUAAAUCCAGAGAAUGACAGACUUUGAUGCCAAACCGCCGCUACACCUUCCUGUUCAAGUGAGCACAACACAACAAGCUCUAGGCAGACAGCACGUCAGGAAUGCUGUAAGACAUCACAGAGACAGAUGCUUGGCUUUUUCUUUGUCUUUGUGUUGGAGAUUGGCUCUGAUGUUUCAGCCUCUUCUGGAGCUUCUAGCUGCUGGCUGUCUG